GAUUAACGCUAACGGCAGGCCUAAUACAUGCAAGUCGAACGGUAACAGGUGUAGCAAUACAUGCUGACGAGUGGCGCACGGGUGAGUAACACGUAUGCAAUCUACCUUUAACUGGGGAAUAGCUCUUCGAAAGAAGAAUUAAUACCGCAUAACAUCAUGAGGCGGCAUCACCUUAUGAUUAAACUUUCGGGGUUAAAGAUGAGCAUGCGUCCGAUUAGCUAGNGGCGGGGUAACGGCCCACCAAGGCGAUGACGGGUAGCAGGCCUGAGAGGGUGGUCUGCCACAUUGGGACUGAGACACUGCCCAGACUCCUACGGGAGGCUGCAGUCGAGGAUCUUCCGCAAUGGGCGCAAGCCUGACGGAGCGACGCCGCGUGGAGGAUGAAGGCCUU
rnacentral:rRNA from 1 species